CAAAAAACCAGCGUCAGGAGGCGCUGGCUGUGACUACGACUAGAGCCGUCGGACAGGCCGUGCAGGUUUCGGCAGACGGUGACGCGCUGCGUCAAAGGAUCGGUGAUUGGCGGCUUGAAGCCUUGUACCCUGCAACCAAUGUCAGCGGAUUCUAACAGGGUUUUAUAGAUCGUCAACACUAUAAAACAUCGAAAUCAUAACAAAAAGUAA
rfam:Burkholderia ubonensis strain MSMB782WGS MSMB782WGS_106, whole genome shotgun sequence.